CGAAAUUGAUCACGUCGAGCAUUACGAUCGAAUCGAACGAAGAUGCCGAAUCAAGACGGCACUGGUCCCAUUUCUUAUCAUAUAUAUAUAUAUAUAUAUCACGUUUUGUUCAAGUACGCGGGGUUUAAUCGUGUCAAGCCUAGCAUGAAGAUGGUCGCUCGAUUAACUCUUUCGACCAUGUUGAGCCUAUCACGAAGAUGGCCGCACGAUUUACGUAAAAAUAUCUCGUUCGAUCAAUCAUUUUGACUAUGUCGAGCCUAUCGCGAAGAUGGCCGCACGGUUUACGUAGUAAAGCAUGCGGUUCGAUCAAUCAUUUUGACCAUGUCGAGCUUAUCGCGAAGAUAGCCGCACGGUUUAGAGAUUAGUGAUGCAUACGCUCGGCGAAAGUGACGAUUUGAUGUCAAAUUUGAUCGGUUCGAAACCUAUCACGAAAAUGGUCGGGUUGAUUAAAUUGACAAAAAAACGCACUUAUGCUAUGCGUAUGCAUACAUAUCUCCUAUUGUUGUAGAAAUCGUUGUGAUUGUUGUUAUCGAAUUCGUAGUCGAAU
rnacentral:lncRNA from 1 species